rnacentral:rRNA from 1 species
AGAGUUUGAUCCUGGCUCAGGAUGAACGCUAGCGGCAGGCCUAAUACAUGCAAGUCGAACGAGAUUGAAGAGCUUGCUUUUCAUGAAAGUGGCGCACGGGUGCGUAACGCGUAUGCAACCUACCUUAAUCAGGGGGAUAGCCUCUCGAAAGAGAGAUUAACACCGCAUAAAAUCACAAGCUGGCAUCAGCAAAUGAUCAAAUAUUUAUAGGAUUAAGAUGGGCAUGCGUGACAUUAGCUAGUUGGUAAGGUAACGGCUUACCAAGGCUACGAUGUCUAGGGGAUCUGAGAGGAUGACCCCCCACACUGGUACUGAGACACGGACCAGACUCCUACGGGAGGCAGCAGUAAGGAAUAUUGGUCAAUGGAGGCAACUCUGAACCAGCCAUGCCGCGUGCAGGAAGACGGCCCUACGGGUUGUAAACUGCUUUUAUACGGGAAUAAACCUCUUUACGUGUAAAGAGUUGAAUGUACUGUAAGAAUAAGGAUCGGCUAACUCCGUGCCAGCAGCCGCGGUAAUACGGAGGAUCCAAGCGUUAUCCGGAUUUAUUGGGUUUAAAGGGUGCGUAGGCGGCCUAUUAAGUCAGGGGUGAAAGACGGUGGCUCAACCAUCGCAGUGCCCUUGAUACUGAUGGGCUUGAUUACACUUGAGGUAGGCGGAAUGUGACAAGUAGCGGUGAAAUGCAUAGAUAUGUCACAGAACACCAAUUGCGAAGGCAGCUUACUAAGGUGUUAAUGACGCUGAGGCACGAAAGCGUGGGGAUCAAACAGGAUUAGAUACCCUGGUAGUCC